UGGAAUGUCCCGCCUCCACAGGGGCAUUUCUAGCAAAGCCAAUAGGCUUUAAGUGACAUACCUUUCAUCUUUAGGUCCUGGAGGAUAUAAGAAAGGAGCAGUAUGGUCCCUGCCAGUUCUCUGUUUCUUUGAGAAAGUCAGUCUGCUCUAGAGAACUCACCAUGGCCUGGUUUCUGUCCUUCAUUGCAUUUCUCAGCUACUUCUCUGGUGUCAUUUCACAGGCUCCUAUGACUCAAGCAGCCUCUGAGUCUGUGUCCGUUGGACAAACCAUUAAGCUUUCCUGCACCCCCAAUGGUAAAGUGGGCUACAUUGCUUGGUAUCAACAGAGACCUGGACUGGGGCCUUGCUUUGUGCACCAAAAUGGCCAGAACCGAGGGGAGGGCAUCCCGGAUCGAUUCACCGCUUCCCUCUCUGGAAAUGUUGGCUAUUUAACCAUCACCAGCACUCAGGCUGAAGAUGAGGCUGCUUAUUAUUGCGGCACAUGGUAUAGCAGUAUUAAUGCGUUCCACAGUGCUCAAAUCUAAUGGGGAACUGAGACAAAAAGCUUCUCUCUUCCUCCUUCAAGCUAGGAGUUCAGAUUUGCUACAGAGCUUCAUUUGAUCUUUACAUGGGACUCUUUGAAUAGUAGAGAUGACAGAUCCUCCAGAUGUCCCUAUUUUCCAGGGGCAGUUUGGG